CACCCCACUGACAAAUUCUUCAAAAAUGUCCUGCUUAGAAACACUAGUCACUAGACAUGCAGUUAUUGUUUACCUACGUCUGCUGAUCUGUAGAAUUCAGUAUAGAACACUAUACAUUUAUCGAGUAUAUCUGUAGUAUUACAUGUUAAUUGUUUCAGUGUGGGUAUUAAAUUGGGAAAUUCGAAAUAUAUAAUAGCUUCGGGUUUCAGGAACUUUACGAUACUUCACGUAUUUAUAGGACACUGUCUUUAAAAUAUGCGAAAGUCAAAUAUAAACUAUAAAUUG